GGGCUGCAGUAUAUUGACUGUACAAAGGUAGCAUAAUCAUUAGUCAUUUAAUUGAUGACUUGUAUGAAAGAUUGGAUGAAAUAUAAACUGUCUCUUUAUUAUUUAUAUAGAAUUUAAUUUUUUAAUUAAAAAGUUAAAAUAAAAUAAAAAGACGAGAAGACCCUAUAGAGUUUUAUAUUUAAAUUAAUUAAGAUUAUUUAUAAAAUUUUUAAUUAAAAUUAUUUUAAAUAUUUUGUUGGGGUGACAGAAAAAUAAAAAUAACUUUUUUUAAAAAUUAACAUAUAUAAAUGAUUUAAUGAUCCAAUAUUAUUGAUUAUAAGAAAAAAUUACCUUAGGGAUAACAGCGUAAUUUUUUUUUUUAGUUCAAAUAAAAAAAAGAGUUUGCGACCUCGAUGUUGGAUUAAGAUAAAAUUUAAAUG
rnacentral:rRNA from 1 species